AUCCAGCUGACGAGUCCCAAAUAGGACAAAAUGCGCAUUCUCCUGGCUGGAU
rfam:Trichobilharzia regenti genome assembly, scaffold: TRE_scaffold0026972